CGCCCCCUGAGGACAUCAAAGUGGGGGAACGGCGGCGAGGCAGAAGAGCUGCUGGAGCUAACAGAGAAGGCUGGCACAAGAACAAGCAGUCUUCCUUGCUGCAGUCUUCCUGCUCACCUGGCAUAAAAAUGAUGGCUGUGGCAGUGUAAGGAUGGAAGCAGGACAUCAGGUGCUGUCCUGAAGCCUGGAUGAAUGAAAUCUGACACAGUGCCUUUGUUUAUUACCUCGGUGACAGGACAGCUGUGAGGGACACUGUGGGGAGAGAUUUCUGCAAAGAAGAGAAAAAGCAACAGCAAAGAGGAAGAAAAACAAUUCAG